rnacentral:rRNA from 1 species
UACGUAGGGUGCAAGCGUUUAAUCGGAAUUACUGGGCGUAAAGCGUGCGCAGGCGGUUUUGUAAGUCUGUCGUGAAAUCCCCAGGCUCAACCUGGGAACUGCGUCCGAUACUGGCAGGCUUGAAUCCGGGAGAGGGAUGUGGAAUUCCAGGUGUAGCGGUGAAAUGCGUAGAUAUCUGGAGGAACACCGAUGGCGAAGGCAGGUCUCUGGGCCACUAGCUGACGCUGAGAAGCGAAAGCGUGGGGAGCGAACAGG